GGCAUUUAAACCAAACGGGGACUCAACUUUUGUCCCCAAAUGCACCAGUUGUCCCCAAAGGUAGGCAUUUUUGUCCUAAAAUUGACCCCAAACAUCACCAGAAACAACCCCCCCACACACACACACACACACAGACACACAAAUAAACAGAUCAGGAUCAACUCAGGGUGCAGCAUCUUGCCCAAGGGAACUUUGGCACCCGGGAUCCAACUCUCCACCUGAUCAAGACUUCAGCUCAGGUGGUGGAUAAAUAAAGUGCUGUGGGGCAACGCAGAUUAUAAUCUGUUAGAUUUUCUUAUAACAGCAUUAAAACACAGACUAGACGCUGAAGAGAAUCAGCCUCCACAACACUGUUGCUACGACAACCGGUCCAGAUCCUCACUCCCUCUGCUCUUUUUUUACAUAACUCCGAGUUAUUUAUUAUUGAUCAGGGAAGUAUAUAUAUAAAUAUAUAUAUAUUUGUAUUUGUGCGCUCCUGUUUCUGUUUUUAACCACUUUUACUGUUUUAAUGGUUUUUAACUGUUAGGAAAAUAUCACCUGAAUCAAUGGAUGAGUUUGAACGAAACUCUCAGAAAGUAAUCAGAGGACUUUAGGAGCCACAGCGGCUCAGUUUCACAGAUACUGAGUUAAAACUUUAUCUGAGUUUAAACCUCACGUCUCACAGUGACCGUCUGAUCUGUUGGGAGCGACGUGGAGACGGAUCGAUACAUGACACAGACACGAGGCGGGGGCCGUCCACUGAGGGUCCAUCAGUCCCACCGCCAGCAGAUCUGAAUGUACCUGAGUGACAACCUUUCACAGCAUCUCGUUGUUGCCGGGGGAACGACAGGGUGGUGGGUGCACCCCUGAUGCUGCUGCAUUUAUGCACAAAAGAAGCAAAAGCAUCCUGCUUGUUCCUGAGGAACAUUUUCACUGAACUGUCAUUAUUUCUCUCUGCAUGUCUCAACAGCAUGUUAAUGCAACUGGUAGGGAAGUUAAAGUCAUUUUUACUCUUUUUUUUUUUACUCUCAAGUCUGCAGGAAUCUUUGAAAUUAGCAUUUCAUAGUUUUUGUUGAAUAUUAGUGUGGAAAAAAUAAAACUUUUUAGUACAUGUGUGUAAAACGGACCUCUGUGCAUGAAAGGAACAUAAUGUAUUAGUGGUUGUAUAACUAAUAAUGAUAAAGAACAUGCCUCAAAACGUG